rnacentral:rRNA from 1 species
ACCGGGGGCCCGCACAAGCGGUGGAGCAUGUGGUUUAAUCGAAGCAACGCGAAGAACCUUACCAGGUCUUGACAUCCCGAUGCUAUUUCUAGAGAUAGAAAGUUACUUCGGUACAUCGGUGACAGGUGGUGCAUGGUUGUCGUCAGCUCGUGUCGUGAGAUGUUGGGUUAAGUCCCGCAACGAGCGUAACCCCUAUUGUUAGUUGCCAUCAUUCAGUUGGGCACUCUAGCGAGACUGCCGGUAAUAAACCGGAGGAAGGUGGGAUGACGUCAAAUCAUCAUGCCCCUUAUGACCUGGGCUACACACGUGCUACAAUGGUUGGUACAACGAGUUGCGAGUCGGUGACGGCGAGCUAAUCUCUUAAAGCCAAUCUCAGUUCGGAUUGUAGGCUGCAACUCGCCUACAUGAAGUCGGAAUCGCUAGUAAUCGCGCAUCAGCCAUGGCGCGGUGAAUACGUUCCCGGGCCUU